rnacentral:rRNA from 1 species
UACGGAGGAUGCGAGCGUUAUCCGGAUUCAUUGGGUUUAAAGGGUGCGUAGGCGGUUUUUUAAGUCAGUGGUGAAAUCCUGCGGCUCAACCGUAGAACUGCCAUUGAAACUGAAAAACUUGAAUAUAAUUGAGGUAGGCGGAAUGAGUAGUGUAGCGGUGAAAUGCUUAGAUAUUACUCAGAACACCAAUUGCGAAGGCAGCUUACCAAGCUAUAAUUGACGCUGAGGCACGAAAGCGUGGGGAUCGAACAGG